UUUGUACUCCCUCCGUCCCAAAAUUGUUGUCUUAAAUUUAUCUAAAUACGGAUGUAUCUAGUUACAUUUUAGUGUUAGAUACAUCCGUGAUCCAUCCGUAUCUAAACAAAUGUAAGACAAGAAUUUUCGGAUGGAGUGAAUACUAC
rfam:Triticum aestivum genome assembly, contig: Triticum_aestivum_CS42_TGACv1_scaffold_515043_6BS